rnacentral:rRNA from 1 species
AUACAGAGGGGGCAAGCGUUAUUCGGAAUUAUUGGGCGUAAAGGGCGCGUAGGCGGUGCUUUAAGUGUAGAUGUGUAAUCCCCGAGCUUAACUUGGGAACUGCAUCUCAGACUGAAGCGCUAGAGUACUGGAGAGGGUGGUAGAAUUCCACGUGUAGCGGUGAAAUGCGUAGAGAUGUGGAGGAAUACCGGUGGCGAAGGCGGCCGCCUGGACAGUAACUGACGCUGAGGCGCGAAAGUGUGGGUAGC